rnacentral:rRNA from 1 species
CAAUUUGAGGGUUUGAUCCUGGCCCAGGACAAAUGCUGGCGGCGUGCUUUGGUAUGCAAGUGGAUCGGGCGCAGCCCGCAACACCCAGCUAACAACAAUCAACAAACAACUUUGAUAGAAUAAAUUAAUGAGUUUCAGAUUUCUGAAAUUUAAAGUUUACCAGGAUGCAAAAACACUGCAUUCAGAAGUUGUUAUUAUAUCGAGAAAAUUCCCAAAAGAUUUCUAUUAUCUCAAAGAUCAGUUAAGAAGAUGCUCUCUUUCAGUUGUCUUAAAUAUUGCUGAAGGUUCGGCUAAGACUUCCGACAAAGAUUUUAAUAGAUAUAUCGAAAAUUCACUGGGGUCUGCAAAUGAGGCAGCUUCUGCAUUAGAUGUUGCUUACUCCGAAAAAAUAAUAGAAAUACAUGAUUAUCACACUUUGUUAAAGUUAACAGAGGAAAUUGUAAAUCAAUUAGGUGGUUUUUCUAAAAAGUUGAAAGUUGGUGGUUGAGUGUUGUGGGUUACGCUAGACGCGAACGGCUGAGUAACACGUAGGAAUCUACCUCUUGGCGGGGAAUAGCCAUGGGAAACCAUGGUUAAUACCGCAUAAGAUCUUCGGAUGAAAGGAUGUAACUAUCCACCGAGAGAGGAGCCUGCGGCCUAUCAGCUUGUUGGUGAGGUAAUGGCUCACCAAGGCUACAACGGGUAGGGGACGUGAGAGCGUGUACCCCCAGAAUGGUACUGAGAUACGGACCAUACACCUACGGGUGGCGCAACCAGGAAUCGUGCGCAAUGGGCGAAAGCCUGACGCCGCGACGCCGCGUGAAGGAUUAAGGCCUAUGGGUUGUAAACUUCUUUUACUUAAGUGGAGACACUUUUGGGAAUAAGCACCGGCUAACUUCGUGCCAGCAGCAGCGGUAAUACGAAGGGUGCAAGCAUUGUCCGGAUUUAUUGGGCGUAAAGCGUUCCGUAGGCGCAUUGGAAAGUCACAUUUCAAAGACCGGGGCUCAACCUCGGAAAGGGAUGUGAUACUACCUUUGUUGAAAUAUGUAGGGGCUACUGGAACUUAACAUGUAGGAGUGAAAUCCGUUGAUAUGUUAAGGAACACCGAGGGCGUAGGCAGGUAGCUGGACAUUAUUUGACGCUGAUGGACGAAAGCCAGGGUAGCGAAAGGGAUUAGAGACCCCUGUAGUCCUGGCCGUAAACGAUGCUCGCUAGGGAUGUGGUCUACAAAGCAUGUAUGCUUUAAGAAACAGCCAACAAUUAACAAACAACUAACAACGAAUUUAAGUUGGUAGUUGAGAGUUGAGGGUUGGGUGUUGUCUACAAAAUGUAUACAUAUUUUGUAGACUGCGUUCCGUAAGCUAACGCGUUAAGCGAGCCGCCUGGGGAGUACGAGCGCAAGCUUAAAACUCAAAGGAAUUGACGGGGACCCGCACAACCAGUGGAGCAUGUGGUUUAAUUCGAGACGAACCGAAGAACCUUACCUGGACUUGACAUCCCGACGACCGUUCUAGAGAUAGAAUUUUCACUAUGUGACGUCGGUGACAGGUGCUGCAUGGCUAUCGUCAGCUCGUGCCGUAGGGUGUUCCCUUCAGUGGGGUAACGAGCGCAACCCUUGCCGUAUGUUAAAUUGUUCAUACGGGACUGGUCGCCUUUGGCGACAGGAAGCGGGGACGAUGUUAAGUCAGCAUGGCCCUUAUGUCCAGGGCUACACACAUGCUACAAUGGAGCCGACAGAGGGUUGCCAAAGAGCAAUCUGGAGCUAAUCCCAAAAACGGCUUCUCAGUUGGGAUUGAGGGCUGCAAUUCGCCCUCAUGAACGCGGAAUUGGUAGUAAUCGCAAAUCAGCUAAGUUGCGGUGAAUACGUUCUCGGGUCUUGUACACACCGCCCGUCAAGUCAGAGGAGUUGGGGGCACCCGAACACCGAGAGUCUCGGUGGAAGGUGAAAUCAGCAACUAGGAUUAAGUCGUAACAAGGUAUCCGUUCUGGAAGGAGCGGAUGGAUCACCUCCUUU